rnacentral:lncRNA from 1 species
UCUGUGACCAUGGCUGUCUCCAGGUGCCCUGCACCAUGUUUCUCUAUCCUGAGGCUUCCCAGAAAGGUUUGAUUAUGGAUUCUGGGGGAGACAUAGUUAUGGUUGUAGAAAAUCUUGCAGAGAUAGGAUUUAAUUUUGGAGUAGAAGUUAUUCUGUAUUAUUAGCCAUGAUCCCAAGAGUCUUCUGAAGAUUCAAAGAAUUAAACUGUUGGACUAGUUAAGAGCAUUAUGCACAGAAUCCAAAAGUGCAUUUUUACAAUAUUGCCUGUUUAGCUUUUCAUUGACCUUGGUAAGCACAGAUGUGUAAUAAUGACCUUUUAUAUGCAAAAUGUAGAUAAGGUCUAAUUUGUAAUAAGAAGAAAUAACUCGAAUCACAAGUAUUUCUUCAUGCUAUAUUUAUUUGCAUUUAUAUCAUUUAAAGUGACUAUCACUGAAGUUUGCAGAACAUUCUUAACUUAUGUGCUGUGCAUCAAUUAUUUUUUUAGGGUAUUUGUUGAAAUCUGGUGAAUUUACUUGUUUUGAAUUUCUUCCAAACACAUUAAAUAACAUUGCAAUGUUAUUAAUCACUUUAGAUUUACAUAUUUUAAACCAACUCAUAUCAAGUUUUGACUUAAUUUGCUAUUGUUUUUCCAUCUUGAUUCCUUGUGCCCAAUUCCCAUAACAAGAAUCAAGACUCACAGAGUAAACACGCCUUCACACAAUCAGCCAAUCUCUGAAGCUGACAGACUGCAAUGGCUGCAGUUGUCUGUCAUUGGAACAGACUGUCUGAAGGGAGGACUUUUUCCAAAGGUUGGCAUAGGGGCUCUAGCGAUGACAAUAGAGGCCAUUCAGUCUCCUAUUAUUCUUGUGCAGUAUCCUGUUUUAGGUCCGAGGAGAGGAAAUCCUUAGCCUUACUUGAAGAGAAUCAUCCCAGGGUCAGGAGGAUAAUUCUGAACACACUGAAGGUAAAUGCAGUGUGGAAAUAAGGAUGAAGGGAAGACCAUAGUGGAUGCAAAGAUUAGCCUCAAAGAUGGAAACUGAAUGCACCUGCAUGGUAAAGUAUAUUUAAACCCUAAAACAUACAGAGCCCUGGGGAGGUGCAAAAAUAAACCAAGCUUAUUUAGUUUACAGCCUUUCUACUCCUCGGGUGGCUUGUCCAGCUGUUACCCAGUCAGGCAGGCUAUUUUGUAUGCCUUCUUUUUUUCUAGUUUAUCACAGGAUACCUGCAAGAACAGCUGCUGGUAAAAGGACCCUCAAUGCCUUCAUUAUACAUGAACUCCAAACUUCACAGCUCCUGAUAUUAAACUGCUUUGAUUGGAGAUUAUAUGUUGUUUCAUUUAAAUUUUAAAUGGAUCACUGUAAUGUGUUUUUAGGUAAUUUGUACCAUGCCUCUGGGCAUAGCACCAUUUUUAUAUUGGUUUCUAAGUUACACAGAAGAGUGGGAAUGCCCCAGAUUAAAAGAGUAACCAGCCCAUGCAGGAUCCUCUUUCAGCUAGCUGCCUUCCCUCCUGCAGUCCCAGGCACGGCUAAUAAAAUAUAUCAAAGCCACGAAGUAUUCAAAGUAGAAUCUCCUUUGCAACAGCCAUUGAGUGUUGCUAUUAAGUUUUUCCUGAAAGGUGGUUGUUCUUAUUACCCUUUUAUGGAUAAAGAAAUCAUAGAGUGUUUAAACAUGAUGCAUGAAUGCUUAUGAACUAGCACAGUGUUUGGAAAGUCAUAGCGUGUACAGGAGAGGCUUGGCUCUAUUAGGAAAAUGAGAUUCAUGGAUGACUGUGUUGCUCAGAGCAAGGUAGUUGCCUUUUUCAUGACUUUGUUGUCAUAUCUGAAAAUAUACAAUGAUGAAGGAUGAGUCAAUACUUUUAGAGCAUAUCUGACCAUGCUGGUGUAGCCAUGGUGGAAGUGAUCCUUCACACCAUAGUUUCUUGACACUCUGAGUGUAAUUACGUUUGUUUGUGAAUUCAGAUUCUUUCUCAGAUCCUGUAAAAGUGCUAGGAAUCAAUCAUUUAUUUUGCGUAAUAGCUGUAGUAGGACCUAGGGUGCCUUAAAAUCAAGCACUCCCAUAGCUCAGCAUUCUACAAAGAAGAAUGGAAAACCUGACAGAAUGAAUAUCAUUCUGUAUCAAUUCAAGAUAAAUUUAGGCCCCCCAAGUCAUUACAAAAAUCUUCUAAGUUUCAGUAUUUUAUAUUUAAAAUUAUAAGUAUAGGGUUUUAGCUCUGAAAUAUAAUUGGAUGGAGAUAAGUAAUUGGAACCAAGAAAUAUCUAAGAUCCAGGCUAGAAUUGUCAUCAAGAACUCUCCCCUUUAUAGUUUUGAAGGAAGAAAAAAAUGAGAGAUUAUGUGGCAAGACUGAUUUCACAUAUCUGAUCAAUAAGGGAUUAGAGUCUGGACUUGGUUCAACCAAGCACACAUGGUCUACACCGAUCAUAGAUAUUUUUAAAGCUUUGUGCCCAAACACUGUUUUCCUGGAGUAUACUGCUCGGUG